rnacentral:piRNA from 1 species
UGCAAAUGGUGGUGCCCUUACUUGUA